GACGAACGCUGGCGGCGUGCUUAACACAUGCAAGUCGAACGGAAAGGCCCUGCUUUUGUGGGGUGCUCGAGUGGCGAACGGGUGAGUAACACGUGAGUAACCUGCCCUUGACUUUGGGAUAACUUCAGGAAACUGGGGCUAAUACCGGAUAGGAGCUCCUGCUGCAUGGUGGGGGUUGGAAAGUUUCGGCGGUUGGGGAUGGACUCGCGGCUUAUCAGCUUGUUGGUGGGGUAGUGGCUUACCAAGGCUUUGACGGGUAGCCGGCCUGAGAGGGUGACCGGCCACAGUGGGACUGAGAUACGGCCCAGACGCAUACGGGAGGCAGGAGUGGGGAAUAUUGCACAAUGGGCGGAAGCCUGAUGCAGCAACGCCGCGUGCGGGAUGACGGCCUUCGGGUUGGAAACCGCUUUCGCCUGUGACGAAGCGUGAGUGACGGUAAUGGGUAAAGAAGCACCGGCUAACUACGU
rnacentral:rRNA from 1 species